rnacentral:SRP_RNA from 2 species
GCUGGGCGUGGUGGCUCACGCCUGUAAUCCCAGCACUUUGGGAGGCUGAGGCAGGUGGAUCACCUGAGGUCGGGAGUUCAAGACCAGCCUGACCAACAUGGAGAAACCCUGUCUCUA